CAGUAAGCGAAGGUCCAAAGGUCAGACAGCUAGCCGGGCUGCCAUCCGACGGGGCCACGGGCGAGCCACUGCUGCUACUGCACUCCAGGGGCUGCACUAUGUCGGGACGGGUCAGGCGG